rnacentral:rRNA from 1 species
UACGGAGGGGGCUAGCGUUGUUCGGAAUUACUGGGCGUAAAGCGCACGUAGGCGGCUUUGUAAGUUAGAGGUGAAAGCCCGGAGCUCAACUCCAGAACUGCCUUUGAUACUGAGGAUCUUGAGUAUGGGAGAGGUGAGUGGAACUGCGAGUGUAGAGGUGAAAUUCGUAGAUAUUCGCAAGAACACCAGUGGCGAAGGCGGCUCACUGGCCCAUUACUGACGCUGAGGCACGAAAGCGUGGGGAGCAAACAGG